rnacentral:tRNA from 1 species
UCCCUGGUGGUCUAAUAGUUAGGACUUUGUGCUUUCACUGUUGCGGCCCAGGUUCAAUCCCUGGUCUGGGAA